UAUUUUACCAAGGAGCAAAACUGAGUAAGUUUCCUGACGAAAAUAAUGAGUGUCUACUGUUCUAGGGCCUUUAACAACAACAACAACAAAUUUACAUUAACGCACAUUAUGUGCCAGGAAUUGCAAGAUGCAUAAGAUUAGUUUUUAAAAUGUGCCUGCUAGAGCUGAACAGGUAACGAGAGUUCGAAGCCGGGUCCAGAGCUAUCUUCUGUAACAUUCUUCUGGGUCGAGUCCCUGCCCCGCUACGGUCCAUUUUCAAAAUUCUCUAGGCAAACAACACAUUCAGUACAGUGCAGCAUAUCAGCAGGCCAAGUUAACCAAUCAGGUUCCAUAUCUUCAUUAGUGUUAUAUGAUCCAUAUGACCUCCCCUUCCUUUCACAUGGGCUGGUCUGACAAUAUUUAUUGGCACAUGAACAAGCCUCAGCAUCACAGUGACUUGCUGUUCCUGGAGAAUUGUGAAGUACGCUUUGCUUAUCUUCAAAUACUUCCUUCUCACUACUCAAAGUGUCUGUGUUCUCACUUUCCGAGUCAUUUUCAGUAUCUUGAGACCCCUCCGACAUUUCCUCUUCAGACUGGACUCCAAGACAUUUAAAUCGCCACAUUGGAUUAUAAAUGGUUUUGAUCCGAGAAGCUGCAUGAGCAGUUAUCCAUUUAAAAAUGUGCUCUACUUCAAUCUUGCGUCCACUGUAUUCUUUAAGCAUGACUUUCCCUUUUGAAGUACUUGUUUGUGGAACAGACAUAAUGAGUGUGGAUCGGACCCAGCCUCUUCUCCUGCAAUAUCUACAAGAGAGGAAACUGGACUAUACGUAACAUGGACCUGGAAAAGCUUAAAAAUAUGAAGAGGAUUGAACUGGCUGCCAUCUGUGCAUCUUCAUUUAUGAAAACACUCCUCAUAGACUUAAAACAAAUGACAGAGAACAAAUUAGUCAGCUUCUUCUAAAAUACAGUGGUCUCCCCUUACCCUCAGUUUCACUUUCUGCAGUCAACUGCAGUCCGAAAAUACUACAUACAAUUAGAUAUUCGGAGAGAGAGACACCACAUUUACAUAAAUGUUAUUUCAGUAUACUGUUAUAAUUGUUCUAUUUUUAUUAGUUGUUGUUGUUACUGUGCCUAACUUACACAUUAAACUUUAUCACAGGUAUGUAUGUAUAGGAAAAAACAUAGACUAUAUAGGAUUUGGUACUAUCCACGGUUUCAGGCAUCCACUGGGGGUCUUGGAACGCAUCCCCCUCAGAUAAGGGGGGACUACUGUAAACAGAAAAUAACAACAAUUCAAAUUGUUAAAAACAAUUCUUGAAAGUUAUCCUUUACAAUAGAUUAAUAUAUAUGAUCUGAGCUGAAAGAAUGGCAAGCAAUGGAGACAAUAUUUCUCUUCUGUUUCUAGUAGAUAUUUUCAAUUUUAAGCAUAGUUUUAAAAAGUACAACCCUCUUUUAAGGGCUUAAACCAAGGUGGCUGUGCUGAUUGGCUUAGCUGGCUAGUUCACAGUGCCAAGGACAGGGUUUCAAUCUCAUUCUUCUCAGUUGUCCUGCCAGAGAUUGUUCUUUCAGACCAGGCCAGCCAUUUGACAGAUGUAAGCCACUGGCCUCAAGGAACACAAGCCAGACAGUGGUGGUCAAUGCAAACCUUGAGCAUCACUGGAAAAAUUAAGCAGGUGUCCUACUGCAUUAUUUCCAUACAUAGAAAAACCACAGAAAUACAUUCUAUUUUUAAAGAGUUGUUUUUCAACUAUUAAUACCUAUAAGGUUUAAAAAUAUUUUCAGAGAAAAAAAAUUUAGCAACUAGAAUUUAUAAUGCUACCAUUUACUAUCAUUAUUUGUCCUUCACUUCAUUUGUCACCUUACCAGAGAAUUCCUUGCCACUCUCAUCUCCUUAAUCUGCUUAUUUUUCUUCUUACUACUUUCCACUAACUGAUGUUAUAUUAAAUAUUUAUUUAUUUGGUGUCUGCCUCUCCCAACUAGAAUGUGAGCUGCCUGACAGAGCAAGGCCUUAGCUUGGUGUGUGUUUCUGGUAUAUCUUCAGGGCCCAGAACAGGGCCUGGCACACCCACAACUGAAUAAACUUUUGAUGAAUUCUGUCACAUAUUUAUUACAGGAGCUUAAUUCAUGGAUAUCUUUAACAGGACAUCAAAAACAGUAGAUCAUUUACAAGCCAAGAACAUACUGCUAACUAUUGAACCAGAAUGUAUUUGUUGUCUAUAGGCAGCAGCCUAUAUAGCAAAAGAACUCAAGACUUUUGACAUAGCCCUUCCAAGUUUCAAAGGUGUGCAACAUCUUCACCAUUUAUUUCCAUGGGAUCAUUCAAUGUGGGUGACAUUUAGACACUGAAAGCAGGGCAGUGGGACUGGCUAUUCAAUUCAUCCUCAGUAAUAAAAUCUAAAAUUAUCAAAAC
rnacentral:lncRNA from 10 species